AGCUGCAGAGUUAACUGCUGCCAAAGAUCUCAAAGUGGCACUGUAUGCCUGAUUUCUUUGGUCUUAACUGUGGACAGAAGUCUUUUUUCCUUCCUAUGUCUGUUUCUCUCUCUCUCUCUCUCUCUCUCUCUCUCUCUCUCUCUCUCUCUCUCUCUCCUCCCUUUCUUCUGUUGUUGACAAGGUCUUAUUCUGUAACCCAGGCUGCUCUCUAACUCAUAACAAUCCUCCUGCUUCAACCUUCAGAGUGCUGGGACUAUAGGCACAUGCUAUAAUCACACUCAGCUACAAACCCUAUUCUUACCUGGUACUGUAACAGAGUUUCAGAUCUAGUCUCUGGCUUCAGGAGUCCCAAAGACUCCUCUAGCCAAUGUCCCAAUAGACCAGUUAAACAGUAAACUAAAGUUCCCAGAAAAAAGCCACAUCUGGGUGAAAGCGUCUACAAGGCCUAUUCGAUUGACUGGGGCAAAUGUCCUGAUGAUACAAAGUUAGAAUGCUUUAGAUCCAGAGUCUAUCUGGGCUAGUAUUAGUCCCUUAAUAACUACCCAUUACCUCCUCUAACUCUGACCUAAUGUCCCUCUGACUGUCAGAUGAAAUCUCUGGAAUACAUUCUCAGCAGACUACCAGCUUCCAAAGGUUUGGAGUUUCCCUGCUCUUCUGGGACCCACCUGCCUGACGCCCCUGUCAGUGUAUUUGUUCUCACUCACAGGUCCGCUGCUGGACACAGGCUCAGUAACUGGGCCUGUAACCUGAACAAACUCAACAAGUUGUGAUGUGACAAAGCUCACUGAGGCUGCUGGGGAAAGGGUCCAUGCCUCCUUCCUCCGCAACCUGCACCUGGAACCUGAGGCCCUGGAGUUAGACCACAGUGCUGAGCCUGGAGCAGUGGGGGCCCCCUCAUACUCGUGGAACAGUGGAGACCGUAGGAGACAGAUAAGCCGGAGAAACACUGGCUCUCAGGAGCUUCCCUUCAGGAAGGAAUGGUUCGAUCCUGAAGGAAAGUGUUAAAACAACAGAUGGCUCUGUGAAAGUGCCACUGCCAAGCCCGAUGACCUGAGUUCAGUUCCCAGGACCCAUUCGGUCCUGAGCUCCCAGAGUGGAUGACAGAAGGCCACUCCCGCUUCAACCAGCUCUACAGACCUGCCCGUCUGUCACCCAGAACCCUGCUUGCUCUGAAGUCCUCCAUGUUUUGCACACUUCCACAGCACCGUCUCUCUGCGUGAAGGUGGCAUCAUUCUUGGAGUCCUCCUGUCGGCAGCCCUUGCAGACCGAGGGAAGCUGGCUUGGAAGGACUCACCUGGGCUCCGAGGACCCUUCCGCAGCGCUGCUUCCCCCCAGUCCCCGUUUCGGAGCCCCUUCCCACUCACCUUUGACCUGCUGGAGCUCCCGCCCACUCAUCCCUCUGUCCUUGUGUCACUGUUGACACCCUGCCCUUAGCUUUGCCUCUGGGCCUCUCCUUUUAGCAGAAUUCAGUUUUUCAUAGUGUGAGCAUUGGCUUGGGACACAGGGUAUGACUGUGCACUGAAAUUUUUCUAUUAUCUUUUCCUUCUCCUUCUUUUUGUUUUGUUUGUUUGUCUUUUUUUGUUUGUUUGUUUGUUUUGUUUUUGAGACAGGAUUUCUGUGUAGUCUUGGCUGUUCCAGAACUCGUUCUGUAGACCAGGCUGGCCUUGAACCCAGAAAUCUGCCAACCUCUGCCUCCCGAGUGCUGGGAUUAAAGGUGUGUGCCACCACCACCCAGCUAUUUUCUAUUUUUCAUAUAUUGCACAACCUAAGCCCAAGCCUGCUACUGUCCAGAGCAGUUAAAGCUUCAUGGUCUCCUCCUCCUCUUCCUUCUCCUUCUCCUUCUUCUUCUUUAGAUAGCUAGUGAUUGGGCACUAUGGUUAAGUCGAUAACUUAGAAGCUGCUUGUAUUAGGGUUCUUCAGAGGAACAGAACUUAUAGAACAAGUUAUCUAUCUAUCUAUCUAUCUAUCUAUCUAUCUAUCUAUCUAUCUAUCUAUCUAUUUUCUACAGGGCUUUAUUAGAAUAGCUUACAGGCUGUGGUCCAGCUAGUCCCAUAAUGGCUGUCUAUCAACAGAAGGCCCAAGAAUCCAGUAGUUGUUCAGCCCUCAAUGCUGGAUGUUUCAGCUGGUCUUCAGUACAUGCCAGAAUCCCCAAGAAUUAGGCUCUAUUGCCAGUGACAGAAGUGACCUGCCCGUGAGAGUGAGAGCAAGCAGGCAAAGAGAGAGAACUUCCUUCUCUCAGGUCUUUUAUGUAGGCUGCCAGCCAAAGGUAUGGUCUAGAUUAAAGGUGGGUCUUCCCAUCUCACAAGAUGUGGAUUAAAAGUGGAUCUUUUCACUUCAGAUGAUUUAAUUUAGGAAGAAAUUCCUCCCAGAUGUUCCUAGUCACUUUUUUUUUUGGCUUUUAGUUAAUUCCAGAUAUAGUCAAGUUGACAGCCAAGAACGGCCAUCAUGCUGCUUUUGCUAAAAGGCAUAGACUCCUCACAAGGAAGAAGAAGUCUCAGGGGAGAGCAAUUAUCCAUGGGGGUGAAGCCAGACACUGGAGCAGAAACAACAUCUCCUGAGAGCCGAGUUGUCCCCUUAAUCAAUGAGGACCUCUGCAGACCCCUUGAAGGCUCAAAGCUGGACAACAAUCAGCAGUGACCUAGACCAGGACUGAUGAUGUGAAAACCUCUUGCCCCAGUUCUUCCUCCACUAAAAAUCAACACUCACGCCAGUCCCCUGAAGGUGGACCUGGGGUAACUGUACCUCUCUAUCUGUUCCUCUUACCAAGGAGGCACACCAAAUCAAUCUCUCUGUCUCUCUCUCUCGCUGUCUCUGUCCCUCUCCCCCUCCCUCUCUGUCUCUGUUUCUCUGUCUGUCUAUUUGCUUUUUCCAUAUUACCAAUGCCUUUAAUUGGCAUAUUAGGGGUAGGUGGCAGAGCCUAGCCUUCUGGGAUUGUCAGAGCCCUGGCUUUUGCCAUAAGAACUCCAAUAACACCAGUGUUACACAUUCAUUUUUCUUACAAUUGACUAGAGGAGAUUCAGAUGAGUACAAACCAGUAGCUCUGAUGACCACAGGUUCUGCUGAUGAGAUGCUUACCACCUCCAGAUGGGACCUAUUCCAGUGGAUGGCAGUUUAUGAAGAAGUUUUCUUUCACUUGGACCUGAAGCUGUGUUCAUCUGGCUCUCACCUGUCCCAGUUUACCUUUCUGGAACCAAACAGAAUGAGUCCAUUGCUGUUCCCAUCUAAACACACUUCAGAGGUCAGAGAACAGCGUUCAACAUGUUAUUAAAACUGCUCAGCAGCACCAAGAACCUUAGCUUUCAAUUGAAAAGCCCCUGAGGACAGACAGCCAAGCAACCACACACAAGUCAGAGAGCCAGAGAGCGGGGUUAAAGAGAUGUCGGGGCAUCUGGUCAUCAUCUCUCACCGAGAGAAGACAAGGGGCUGGAGAUGUAGCUUUGUGGUUAAGAACAUACACUGUUCUUUUUUUUUUUUAAAGGUUUAUUUAUUUAUUAUGUAUACAGAAGAGGGCGCCAGAUCUCAUUACAGAUGGUUGUG